CAUGUCUGUAGAAAUACAGGAUUCGCUACCCCAGCCUUUUAAAGGGUUAAUAGAUACUGGUUCACAAGCCACUAUCUUAUCCAAUACCUACUUCCAGCAGGUAAUGGACUUAGCAACGGAUAAGCCGAAGCUAAGAGAUUUCCCCAAUGCUCUGUUGAGUGUAGGAGGAAAUGCCCUUCAUGUUAUUGGCAAUACCUGGUUAAAGUUUAAAUUGGGUAACAAAACCUUUAGACACCCG